CCCCACCCCCAGUCGCUACAGAAGAAAAAAAAAAAAAUUAACCGGGCGUGGUGUCUCGCGCCCAGUGGUCCUAGCUCCUCGGGAAGUCAUCAGAGAUGCCAGACCAGAGGAAAUACAGCAAUCAAAGCAGGCAAACCUGUUGCUAAAUGUGUUUUUGAGAGUAAAACUCCUUGGCCAAAUACUUCAAGACGCUGAUGAUUCUCAAAACUGUCAUCAUGAACCAUCUGGAGAAGGCCAGAUGUUUACAUUUCACGGAAAUGUGGUCCUGAAACCUUCAUUCUGAGCGCAGAGCUAACCACCUCCUCCUAUUCUUGGCAACACUAGUAAAUGAUACAUUACCACAGAGCAGGUGAAAUGCAGCAGAGACAUCUACGCUAGAACCUGAGGGUUGCUAUGUUGUAAGAAGCAUGCCCAGGUUUAUACUAGGACGCUCGGCUGGAGCAUUGGUUCACCGCUGUCCACUAUUUUAAAGACAUGCCAGAAAUAACAAUCCUAUUAUCUGAUUUCCAAGUAAGUCAGGAUGUUCCUACUAACAGCCCUUCCUUUUAUGGUAGUGAGAAUAGUCUAGAAACUUAGUGUUUUAUGAUAAUUCAUGUGCCGUGGCUCUCUUCCAGGAGAUUUUAAUCUCCCUCUGGCCUUGUCUUAUUCACCUUUAUGUCCCAGGACAAAAAUGUUGGACUGUUUGUUAUAUGUUAAUAAGUGGGCUGGGCGCGGUGGCUCACGCCUGUAAUCCCAGCACUUUGGGAGGCCG
rnacentral:lncRNA from 1 species